rnacentral:tRNA from 1 species
UGUACACUGGUGUAUAGAGCAUGAAAAGCUUUGAUCUUUUAAGAAAUGGUGCGAUUCCGUUGUGUAUAG